UUUGUUUCAGUUGUGUCAAUA
rnacentral:siRNA from 1 species